rnacentral:rRNA from 1 species
GAUGAACGCUAGCGGCAGGCCUAAUACAUGCAAGUCGGACGGGAUUGAGAAGCUUGCUUUUCAUGAGAGUGGCGCACGGGUGCGUAACACGUAUGUAACCUACCCAUAUCAGGGGGAUAGCCUCUCGAAAGAGAGAUUAAGACCGCAUAACAUUAUUGAAUGGCAUCAUUUAAUAAUCAAAUAUUUAUAGGAUAUGGGUGGGCAUGCGGAACAUUAGCUAGUUGGUAAGGUAACGGCUUACCAAGGCUACGAUGUUUAGGGGAUCUGAGAGGAUGACCCCCCACACUGGUACUGAGACACGGACCAGACUCCUACGGGAGGCAGCAGUAAGGAAUAUUGGUCAAUGGACGGAAGUCUGAACCAGCCAUGCCGCGUGCAGGAAGACGGCCCUAUGGGUUGUAAACUGCUUUUGCAGGGGAAUAAACCUCGAUACGUGUAUCGAGCUGAAUGUACUCUGAGAAUAAGGAUCGGCUAACUCCGUGCCAGCAGCCGCCGUAA